GUGUUGUCUGAAAGGAAAGAAGGUUAGCACUGCCCUUGACAAGGAUGCAAGAACCUUCGGCCCGCAACAUGCUUAUGGUCAAGGCACUGCCACCUACUUUGUGGCAUCUAACCAAUGUUUUUU